CAGCCCAGCGCAUAACCUCCCGGGCUACCAAGCCUGCGGCGGAAUGUUGCGUUAAGGGAAAGGUCGUUUCAAAGCCCUGCACUACAUGGCCUAAGUUUGGCUUGAAUUUCUCACUGUAUCCUAACGGCUACAACGGCUCCACAGAGGGUGUCAGACCCGUGAGGCCAUGUGAUUAAAUGUGCGUGGGUUCGGCUUUAUUCCCUGAGAGUCGCGUUGCUUGAGCAUGCAGCGCUAAGCAGGUCGUAAACUCGACCUAAGGCUAAAUAUAUUCGCAGAACCGAUAGUAAACAAGUACCGUGAGGGAAAGUUGAAAAGUACUCUGAAGAGAGAGUCAAAAGACCGUGAAACCGCUUAGAGUAUAAGCCAAUGGUAUUCUGGAAUGCUGGAGCUCCCCUUGCAAAAUGGUUCCCGAUUGUGGGGUACGUCCUAAGGGUAUCGUGUGUGCGAGAGAUCAUGAAGGCUGAUGGGCAAUCGAACCGAAAAGUGGCAUUGAGUUGAUACCACGGCACCCAUAUCUCGCGGGCCUCUGACAGUGGUAACAGGGAACGUUCUAAUGAGGAACUGAACCGAGGCUGGGCUUCAGCGAGCGUCAGUUUCUAAGCACAAUAACGAUCGGCUUUCUAAACAGCACACCACAAUCCUUUAUAAGGUCUCCUCGUGAGGUGUGGUAAGAAAGAGGGUUUACGCUUUCUUUCUUUCAGCGGGUUGUGUCGCGUUAUUGCUCUCUAGUUUGUGUGCGCUUUUGUAGCGUGCUCCCAUUCCGGUAUAAGUAUAUAAGUUUUAACUCGCAUUGGCUUGCGAGCUUGUAUAUAUCUGGUGAUGUGGUUGCUAGAGGGCCGGCCAACUUUGCACUGCACCGUUCCAGACACGAGCGGAAUGAUCCUAUGUGAAGAUUGAUUCUGACCAGCCGAUACCCGCGAGCCUUGCCUCAACAGAGCUUGGCGAGUAAACUGCACGGUUGUGCCCUUGCGCCUCAUUACAUUAAGCCUUCUAGUCGGUCUAUUUCGGGAUGGGAGUGCAUUGGCCUCCUCGCGCCCCUUCUAGACUUGCGAAAGGGUGUUUUGGGCCGUGAGCGAGGGGGCGAUUCGUUGGGUUGAUGGCUGAUUGGUGCAUUAUUCCAGAGCCAUUGGUCACGUCUCGAAACACGGGCCAAGGAGCAUAGCAUGUGCGCAAGUCUAAGGGAUAAGAAAUCCUGGAGGCGAAGUGAAAGCAAAUGGUGUGUAUACGAGAGUGUGUGCUCGCGCGCGCGCUCUUGUAUUCAGCCUGCGAAGUGCGUAAUUCCCGCUCACGCGGAUGAAUGCGUCUUGCGGCUUAAACCGGGUUGAUCCUGUUUCGUAAUCAAGCCUCAAUGGCGAUACGCGGGCGCAAACCCCAGGCUCUCUUACGAGGGUAUUCGCGUAUCCUUGAGAGCACUGCAUAGCGUGCAUGCUAUAACCCGAAAGAUAGUGAACUAUGCCUGGCGAGGAUCGAAGCCCCAGGAAACUGGGG
rnacentral:rRNA from 1 species